rnacentral:misc_RNA from 1 species
GAUGAAGAACGCAGCGAAAUGCGAUAAGUAGUGUGAAUUGCAGAAUUCCGUGAAUCAUCGAAUCUUUGAACGCACAUUGCGCCUUCUGGUAUUCCGGAAGGCAUGCCUGUUCGAGAGUCAUUAACAACCGUUUCGAUCCCUUUCUUUCAGAAAUUACAAAGAGGAAAAGGGUUUGGUUAUGGUGGAGGAGGGAAAGGGAGCGUUUAGCCUGUAAAAAAAGAGGCUGUGUUCCGCCUCCCCCCCAAAAUUGUACAGGCGGUCGUGUGCGCCCACGCAUCGAGGUGUUGUAAAAACUGCCACGGCACUUUUCACCUGUGCAGUGCGAGAUUGGCCAGCCGGUUUAAAAACCCCUCCAAACAAUCAAAGGUUGACCUCGGAUCAGGUAGGGAUACCCGCUGAACUUAAGCAUAUCAAUAAGCGGAGGA